AAUAUUGCCCAAGUGAAUUCAAAUAUUAAAAAGUAGCUAAAUAAUGAGUAAAAAUUUUAGAUUAAUUUCUUUUUUGUGCUAAGAUGCAUCUAACUCCUAAUUCUAAUUUUAAAUCCAAAUAUCUUCUUACUAAAAUACCUAUAAUUUAUUUAUUAAUAACUAAAUUUAGGAAAAAUUUAUCUCAUUGAGCAUAAUUUAAGCUAUAAAAUUUAAAUUAUCAAAGUCAAUAAAUAAAAUUUUGAAAAAAUAAGAGCCAAACCAAAGAAAAAAUUGGUUGCUUGGUAUAGCCACAAUCUUCAAAACUUCUAUUUAUAAAUUAGCUUAGAUCUCCCUUAUCACAAUUCAUUUUUUUUAAUAUGCAAUGAUUUAUUGGAAAGCUAACAAUAAGAUCUUGAAUUCUACAAAAUCUCAAUACAAAAAGACAAAAACUUAGUAAAACGUAUAAAAAAUCUUGAACCAAUCUUAAAUUCUAUUGCCUAAAAAUUCUAUCAAUUUUUCUUACAAAUUUGCUUAAAUCUUCUUUGUCAUAGCUCUAUUUUUUUGUAUCCUAAGACUCAUUGAAAAGCUAACAACAAGAUCUAAUUUUUCUAAAAAUCUUACUAAAAAAAGAUAAAAAUUCAAGAAAUAGCAUAGAAAACCUUGAACUAGACUUGAAUCUCAUUGCUCAAAAAUUUUAGCAACCCUCUGCCUACAAAUUUGCAU
rnacentral:lncRNA from 1 species